rnacentral:rRNA from 1 species
UUCCAGACUCCUACGGGAGGCAGCAGUGGGGAAUAUUGGACAAUGGGGGGAACCCUGAUCCAGCGACGCCGCGUGAGUGAAGAAGUAUUUCGGUAUGUAAAGCUCUAUCAGCAGGGAAGAAAGAAAUGACGGUACCUGACUAAGAAGCCCCGGCUAACUACGUGCCAGCAGCCGCGGUAAUACGUAGGGGGCAAGCGUUAUCCGGAUUUACUGGGUGUAAAGGGAGCGUAGGCGGUUCAGCAAGUCAGAAGUGAAAGCCCGGGGCUCAACUCCGGGACUGCUUUUGAAACUGUUGAACUAGAUUGCAGGAGAGGUAAGUGGAAUUCCUAGUGUAGCGGUGAAAUGCGUAGAUAUCAGGAGGAACACCGGUGGCGAAGGCGGCCUGCUGGACUGCGACUGACGUUGAGGCCCGAAAGCGUGGGGAGCAAACAGGAUUAGAUACCCGUGUA